rnacentral:rRNA from 1 species
UACGUAGGGUGCGAGCGUUGUCCGGAAUUACUGGGCGUAAAGAGCUCGUAGGUGGUUUGUCGCGUUGUUCGUGAAAACUCACAGCUCAACUGUGGGCGUGCGGGCGAUACGGGCAGACUAGAGUACUGCAGGGGAGACUGGAAUUCCUGGUGUAGCGGUGGAAUGCGCAGAUAUCAGGAGGAACACCGGUGGCGAAGGCGGGUCUCUGGGCCGAUACUGACGCUGAGGAGCGAAAGCAUGGGGAGCGAACAGG